rnacentral:rRNA from 1 species
CCUACGGGGCGCUGCAGUGGGGAAUAUUGGACAAUGGGCGAAAGCCUGAUCCAGCCAUGCCGCGUGUGUGAAGAAGGCCUUCGGGUUGUAAAGCACUUUCAGUGGGGAAGAAAGCCUUGGGGCUAAUACCCUCGAGGAAGGACAUCACCCACAGAAGAAGCACCGGCUAACUCCGUGCCAGCAGCCGCGGUAAUACGGAGGGUGCGAGCGUUAAUCGGAAUUACUGGGCGUAAAGCGCGCGUAGGCGGUCUGAUAAGCCGGUUGUGAAAGCCCCGGGCUCAACCUGGGAACGGCAUCCGGAACUGUCAGGCUAGAGUGCAGGAGAGGAAGGUAGAAUUCCCGGUGUAGCGGUGAAAUGCGUAGAGAUCGGGAGGAAUACCAGUGGCGAAGGCGGCCUUCUGGACUGACACUGACGCUGAGGUGCGAAAGCGUGGGUAGCAAACAGGAUUAGAUACCUUGUAGUC